CAAACAUUUAGUGUCAUUCUGCCCCAGCCAUGGGCCCAGAAUCCUCAGCCACCUUACAGCAGUCCCAGCUCAGCAGGAAGUAUCCAGAGAUACCUUGACACUCCUAUUCCCAAAGAACUGGGCCUCCCAUCUCUUGAAGGGAGAAUGUUAGGUAGUUAGAAUAGGAAAAAGGAGUCCAAAAUGAUGGUGGCUAAAAGGCAGAGAAAUGGAAAAGCCCACAAAAAUGGAACAAAAGAAAAUCCAUGGACCAGAGUGAGAACUUCAGGUGAAACAAACAUGUCCCCUUCUUGGCUAGCCCAAUUUGCAUAGGGUAGGCUCAGGAGGGAGGAGACAAAUGGAUAAAACGAGGAAGCCAAGAAGGAUUGAGCCUCUCUCCCUUUGGGUUCAGCACACCCUUGUGCCUCAAUGGGGUACUAUCCUUUGCUUGCUGAAUAAAACGGAACUGUAACUGAUCUGUAACAUUGGUCCGCCAUUUCAAAUCUUUGCUGCGGUGAGACAGACUGAGGAAAUGACACACUCCCCCAACAUAUCUGGUGCCGUGAUUUGUAUUUAACCUGGUUGAAACAACCUCAGCUUGGCCCCAGUGAGGCAGAGACCAAGCACUUGGUGAAAGCAGAGACCAAGUCCAACUUGGUGAAAGCUCACAUGGUGGAAGCCAAACAUGAAGCAAACCCAGUGCAGUGGAAGUGAUGAGAAGCCCGGCAUGCUGGAAACUGGCAUAGCAAAAACAAACUUGGCAGAAAGCUCAUGCAGCUCAGUCUCAGAGUCCAGAAGACUUCUAGUUAAGGAACUUUGGACCACUGGACAAAACCCUGAGGGACUCUCAGAAGAUCCUCUGACCAAUCCUGAGGAAAUCUAGUACACUGAUGGAAGCAGAUUUGUCUUGGAUGGAAAAAGAAGAACUAGAUAUGCAGUCAUCUCCAAUUUCAAGACCAUAGAGGCUAAAUCUUUGUCACCAGGUACUUCUGCCCAGUUGGCUGAGCUCCUAGCCCUGACUUGAGCUUUAGAGCUGAGAAAAGGAAAAAGAGUGGCCAUUUAUACUGACUCCAAGUGUGCCUUUCUGGUGCUACGUGCACAUGCUUCUAUUUGGAAAGAAAGAGGCCACUUGACCACGAGGUUCCCUAAUCAAGUAUGGUGAUCAAAUCCUUAGGCUCUUGGAGGUAGUUCAUCUGUUCGCUGAGGUAUCAGUCUCCCAUUGUAAAGGACACCAAAAAGGGAGCACGGAAGUGGCACGAGGGAACCAAUUAGCUGACCAGGCAGCUAAGAGAGCAGCAUUACAGAACAAUGACCUAAUAGGGGUUGCCACCUUAGUUCCACAGACUAAUUUGCCAGAAACUCCUUCAUAUACUGAAGGUGAAACUCUUGAAGCUAAGAGCGAGGGCUUUUAAGAAGAUCAUGUGGGGUGGGUCCAAGAGGAGGGACUCCUUUUUCUGCCUGGGACCCUCCAGUUGAAGUUGGUUAACUCCUUAUAUGCACCACUCAUUUAGGGUAGAAGGCCCUCCAAAGAUUACUAGAAAGGUCCUUCAUUGGAACAGGCCUCCAAAUGACUAUAAGGCAAGUGGUCUCCUCUUGUCCCACUUGCCAAUUAAACAACCCCCAAGGAGCUCGAACACUCCAGCCGGCCCAGCCCAUGCAAUGUGGGACCUACCCAGGAGAGGACUGGCAGAUGGACUUCACCCAGAUGCCAAUUUCUCAAGGAUAUUAAUACCUACUAGUCAUGAUACUUACAUUCACAGGAUGGAUUGAAGUCUUUCCCACCUGGACUGAGAAGGCUGAGGAGGUGCUAAAAAAAACUGCUCCAUGAAAUCAUUCUGAGAUUUGGUCUGCCCAGGUCAUUACAAAGUGACAAUGGGACAUCAUUUACCCCAAGGUCACCCAAGGGGUCUCUAAAGCAUUGGACCUUCCUUAUUAUCUCCAUUGUGCCUGGAGGCCUCAGUCUUCAGGAAAACUAUAAAGAGCCAACCAAUUCUUAAAAUCAGUGAUUAAAAGAUAACCCAGGAGACCUCUCUCAGAUGGAAGGAGGCUUUUCCCACAGCUCCCCUCUGCACCUGUAUUGCCCCUAAGGAAUGGGUUGGUCUUAGUCCUUAUGGGAUGCUAUAUGGGAGACCUUUUGUUUAUGUCAGUGACCUCUUCCUAGAUCCAGAGGCUCAGGCUCUAUGGUCUUAUACCAUGGUCAUUGGGCAAUUCCAACAGGAUAUAUGCUUGUGGGAUGUCAAACAGGACCCAAAAGAUUCUAAAGGACCACAACUAUAUGCUCCAGAGACUCAAGUUCUAAUUAAAGUCGAGAAAGAUGUGUCCCCAAAGGGUCAACUUCAGCCCAUAUGGAAGGGCCCCUACCCUGUAAUACUUUCUACCCCCACAGCAGUCAAGGUACCAGGACACAACUCCUGGAUACACUACGCACAUGUCAAACCAUGGAAGAAAGCAGAAGAGGGUGCUCAAUACACCUGUGAGCCCUGGGAGUUCUCAGAUAACUAUUCAAAACUAUGAAUGAGUGUCAUUCUAAUGAACACCCCAAAAGUAAGGUUCUGGGGAUGAGUCUCAGGAUAGCUAUAAAGAGCCAACACAGCUUGGCAGGGGUUGUACUCCAAAAUAGACAGGAAAUAGAGCUCCUGAUCCCUGAACAGGUACAGACUUGAGACAUCUCGAAUGAGAUGUAUUAUUUCUGGGUAAAUACCUCCAGCCAAGUUAAACGAAGUCUCACAGUCCUCAAGAAAAACCUUCAGAUCCUUUAGGAUCUCAAAGAAUGAGUUGGAGAGUUCUUGGGGUGGCUAUAAUCUCUCUUUGGGGGGUCCUUCACUUGGUGAAGGGGAAUUUGGAGUUGGCUAAUGCCCCUACUAAUCCCUGUUAUUAUCAUAUUUAUGCUACUUAUGAUUGCCCCAUGUAUUAUCAAUUGUCUACCCCGAUUUGUCUCUGCCCAGGUCAACAAGCUACAACAUGUAGUGCUGGUUCAACGAGGAUAUAUAAAACCACACCCGACCAUGGAAAACAUCACUCACCCUUAGAGGGACUCUGCUAUAUGGACUCUGAGGCUUGAGACUAGCAAGAAGGGGAGGUCCAAUGCCCUUCCCAGGCCCAACACAGCAAGAAGUAGCCAGGGAUACCUCGGUGGCCUAUUCCCAAAGAUUUGGGCCUCCCAUCUCUUGAGGGGGGAAUGUUAGGUAGUUAGAAUAGGAAAAAGGAUUCCAAAAUGUUGGUGGCUAAAAGACAAAGGAAGGGAAAAUCCCAUGAAAAUGGAACAAAAGAAAGUCCGUGGACAAGAGUGAGAAAUUCGGGUGAAACAAACACGUCCCCUUCUUGGCUAGCCCAAUUUGCAUAGGGCAGGCUCAGGAGGGAGGAGACAAAAUAUAUAAAAAGAUAAAGCCAAGACAGAUUGAGGCUCUCUCCCUUUGGAGUCAGCCUGCCCUCACACUUCAAGGCUAUACUAUCCUUUGCUUGCUGAUAAAACUGAGCUGAAACUGAGCUGUAACACUGGUCCACCGUUUCAAAUCUUUGCUGCGGCGAGACAAAACUGAGGAAAUUACACACUCCCCAACACUUUGGACUGAAAUAUAUCUUUUCCCCUGGGGUCUGAUCCCCAGCCUUGGUAAGGGGAACCCAUGCCCAAAUUUGUUCUUCUUUGGGUAUUCUCUCUCAACCAUGUUGCAUCAUGUAAAGUUUUACUAUAUUUUACCUUUUAUCAUGG
ensembl:lncRNA